UUUCUUCUACUUCCUUUAUGUCUUCACGUGCACCACUUUCUUCUUCUUCCUUUUUUUCCUCGAGAAGACAAACUUUGCAUCCAUACUUUCCCAUCAUAUCACUACUUAUCACACCUACUCUACUUCAUCUUCCCCUCUCUCUUCAAACUUCUAUUCUCCCACAAACUUCUAUUAUCCUCCCACAAACUUCUCUGUCUCUCCACUGAAAAAACAAACCCCGUUUCAUUUUGAUUUUGAUUUUGAUUUGGUGUUUGUUGUUUCAGGUUUGGUGGUGUUGACUCACGCGAAAGGGAUAAGCUUCGCUGACGGUGCGGUUAUCUGAACAGAUUUAGGUGUAACAGAUCUGAUUCUUUAUCUUGGACUCUCUACUCAGAUCUACGAAAUUAUGGCGGUGGCUAUGGCGUUUCCGGCGGUAGGCGGUUUGACAGUGGUAAACUAUAGUAGCGGCAACACGUGUUCAAGAUUUAACACAAGCUGUUGAAGAUUCUCAAAGAAAAGCUGAUCAAUUGCGGGAAAAAUUGCACGAGAAGCAAAAACAAGUAGACGAGGAGCUCCAAGAAUUAGAAUACUCAAAAGAAUCUUUAACAACUUUGGAGCAGAGUCUUGCAGAAGUUACGAAUGACCGUGAUAGGCUUUUAUCACUAUGCGAUGAAAAAGAUAAUGAACUUCAGGAUAAAAUUCUAGAGAAAAGGAGUUUGGAAGCAAAGAUGGCCAACUUAAAUAGUUUGAAGAUAGAUGGAAUUACUAAUAAGGAUCAUAUUGAAGCAAAUGACUCGAUAUGGAAUUUGGUUGGUUCCUAGCAGGCAUUGAGAAAGCUUGAAGGUGACUUGAAACGUUGUAGAGACGAGUGUAUGGAAGCUGAAGAGAAAAUCAAAAGCUUGACAAAUGAGAAGUUGAUUUUGACACAUAAGCUAGCUGAGCUUGAGGAAAAAGAAUGCUAAAGAGGUAAAACUGAGAGUUGUAUAUUAAUAUUUAAAGCCACAACACUUAAUUUUAGUACUUGGGAAUUACCAAAUGGACAAAAUGCAGAAGUAUUUUGUGCAAUGUUAGUGAAGUUCACGUUCACAAA